GUAGAGGACGCUUUUGGCGCGGUGCCUUCCGAGUGCCCUGGAACGGGACGCCAUAGAGGGUGAGAGCCCCGUAUGGUUGGACACCAAGCCUGUGUAAAGCUCCUUCGACGAGUCGGGUAGCUUGGGAAUGCUGCUCUAAGCGGGAGGUAAACUUCUUCUAAAGCUAAAUACCGGCCAGAGACCGAUAGCGCACAAGUAGAGUGAUCGAAAGAUGAAAAGCACUUUGAAAAGAGGGUCAAAUAGUACGUGAAAUUGUUGAAAGGGAAGCGCUCAUGACCAGACUUGCGCCGGGCGGAUCAUCCAGCGGUUUCCGCUGGUGCACUCCGUCCGGCUCAGGCCAGCGUCGGCUGUCGCGGGGGGACAAAAGCUCUGGGAAAGUAGCUCCCUCCGGGGAGUGUUAUAGCCCACUGCAGAAUAUCCCCGCGGCGGCCGAGGUCCGCGCCCUGCAAGGACGCUGGCGUAAUGGUCAUCAGCGACCCGUCUUGAAACACGGACCAAGGAGUCGAGGUUUUGCGCGAGUGUUCGGGUGCAAAGCCCCAGCGCGUAAUUAAAGUGAACGUAGGUGAGAGCUUCGGCGCAUCAUCGACCGAUCCUGAUGUAUUCGGAUGGAUUUGAGUAGGAGCGUAAAGCCUCGGACCCGAAAGAUGGUGAACUAUGCCUGUAUAGGGUGAAGCCAGAGGAAACUCUGGUGGAGGCUCGCAGCGGUUCUGACGUGCAAAUCGAUCGUCAAAUAAU
rnacentral:rRNA from 1 species